CGGAGGGUGCAAGCGUUAAUCGGAAUUACUGGGCGUAAAGCGCACGCAGGUGGCUGAGUCAGUCGAUUGUGAAAGCCCUGGGCUUAACCUGGGAAUUGCAGUCGAUACUACUCAGCUAGAGUAUGGGAGAGGGUAGUGGAAUUCCCGGUGUAGCGGUGAAAUGCGUAGAUAUCGGGAGGAACAUCAGUGGCGAAGGCGGCUACCUGGCCCAAUACUGACACUCAGGUGCGACAGCGGUGGGGAGACAAACAGGAUUAGAUACCCUGGUAGUCCACGCCGUAAACGAUGAGAACUAGAUGUCGGGGGGGAUUAGCCCCUCGGUGUCGUAGCUAACGCGCUAAGUUCUCCGCCUGGGGAGUACGGCCGCAAGGUUG
rnacentral:rRNA from 1 species